GACGAACGCUGGCGGCGUGCUUAACACAUGCAAGUCGAACGGAAAGGCCCUGCUUUUGUGGGGUUCUCGCGUGGCGAACGGGUGAGUAACACGUGAGUAACCUGCCCUUGACUUUGUGAUAUCUUCAGGCAACUGCUGCUACUACCGGAUAGGAGCUCCUGCUGCUUGGUGGGGGUUGGAAAGUUUAGGCGGUUGGGGAUGGACUGGCGGCUUAUCAGCUUGUUGGUGGGGUAGUGGCUUACCAUGGCUUUGACGGGUAGCCGGCAUGGGAGGGUGACCAGGAACAAUGGGACUGAGAUACGGCGCAGACGGGAACGGGAGGCAGCAGGGGGGAAUAUUGCACAAUGGGCGGAAGCCUGAGGCAGCAACGCCGCGAGCGGGAUGACGGCCUUGGGGUGGUAAAGCGCUGUCGCCUGUGACGAAGCGUGAGUGACGGUAAUGGGUAAAGAAGCACCGGCUAACUACGUG
rnacentral:rRNA from 1 species